rnacentral:rRNA from 1 species
GGGUUAAGUCCCGCAACGAGCGCAACCCUCGACCUUAGUUGCCAGCAUUCAGUUGGGCACUCUAAGGUGACUGCCGGCUAAAAGUCGGAGGAAGGUGGGGAUGACGUCAAAUCAUCAUGCCCCUUAUGACCUGGGCUACACACGUGCUACAAUGGGCGGUACAAAGGGUCGCGAACCCGCGAGGGGGAGCCAAUCCCAAAAAGCCGCUCUCAGUUCGGAUUGCAGGCUGCAACUCGCCUGCAUGAAGCCGGAAUCGCUAGUAAUCGCGGAUCAGCAUGCCGCGGUGAAUACGUUCCCGGGCCUU